rnacentral:rRNA from 1 species
GGUAGCCUACCAUGCAGUCGUACGAGAGUUUUUAACUCAAGUGGCGGACGGGUGAGCAACACGUAAGAAUUUGCCUUUAGGAGGGGGAUAACAACUGGAAACGGUUGCUAAUACCCCAUAUGCUUUUGAGUGAAAUGGGUUUCCGCCUAAAGAGAAGCUUGCGGCUGAUUAGCUUGUUGGUAGGGUAAUGGCCUACCAAGGCGACGAUCAGUAUCUGGUUUGAGAGGAUGAUCAGACACACUGGAACUGAGACACGGUCCAGACUCCUACGGGAGGCAGCAGUGGGGAAUUUUCCGCAAUGGGCGAAAGCCUGACGGAGCAAUACCGCGUGAGGGAUGACUGCCUAUGGGUUGUAAACCUCUUUUUUCAGGGAGGAAUAAAUGACGUGUACCUGAAGAAUAAGCAUCGGCUAACUCCGUGCCAGCAGCCGCGGUAAGACGGAGGAUGCAAGUGUUAUCCGGAAUCACUGGGCGUAAAGCGUCUGUAGGUGGUUUAAUAAGUCAACUGUUAAAUCUUGAGGCUUAACCUCAAAAUCGCAGUCGAAACUAUUAGACUAGAGUAUAGUAGGGGUAAAGGGAAUUUCCAGUGGAGCGGUGAAAUGCGUAGAGAUUGGAAAGAACACCAAUGGCGAAGGCACUUUACUGGGCUAUUACUAACACUCAGAGACGAAAGCUAGGGUAGC